AAUAAGCUAUUUAAGAGCGUAAGGUGGAUGCCUUGGCUCUCAGAGGCGAUGAAGGACGUGAUAAGCUGCGAUAAGCUGCGGGGAUUGGCACACACAAUUUGAUCCGUAGAUUUCCGAAUGGGGCAACCCACUAUAUUGAAGAUAUAGUAUCCGUUAAGGAAGCAAACCCAGGGAACUGAAACAUCUAAGUACCUGGAGGAAUAGAAAACAAAAGUGAUUCCGCUAGUAGUGGCGAGCGAACGCGGAACAGCCCAAACCAAAAUUGUUUCGGCAAUUCUGGGGUUGUAGGACCACGACAUUGAAUG
rnacentral:rRNA from 1 species